UACAUACUGUGCGAACGUUAUUCGGAUUCACUGGGCUUAAAGGGUGCGUAGGCGGCUUGUUAAGUAGGGUGUGAAAGCCCCCAGCUCAACUGGGGAACUGCACUCUAUACUGGCGAGCUGGAGUGAGAUAGGGGUGUGUGGAACUGCCAGUGGAGCGGUGAAAUGUGUUGAUAUUGGCAGGAACGCCGGUGGCGAAAGCGACACACCGGGUCUCAACUGACGCUGAGGCACGAAAGCCAGGGGAGCGAACGGG
rnacentral:rRNA from 1 species